rnacentral:rRNA from 1 species
AGAGUUUGAUCAUGGCUCAGAACGAACGCUGGCGGCAGGCUUAACACAUGCAAGUCGAACGAGUAAGAGCCGUAGCAAUACGGAGUUCUGCUAGUGGCGCACGGGUGAGUAACGCGUGGGAAUAUGCCCUUUAGUACGGAAUAACAGUUGGAAACGACUGCUAAUACCGUAUACGCCCUUCGGGGGAAAGAUUUAUCGCUAAAGGAUUAGCCCGCGUGAGAUUAGGCAGUUGGUGGGGUAAUGGCCUACCAAGCCUACGAUCUCUAGCCGGUCUGAGAGGACGAUCGGCCACACUGGAACUGAGACACGGUCCAGACUCCUACGGGAGGCAGCAGUGGGGAAUAUUGGACAAUGGGCGAAAGCCUGAUCCAGCCAUGCCGCGUGAGUGAUGAAGGCCUUAGGGUUGUAAAGCUCUUUUGUCAGGGAAGAUAUUGACGGUACCUGAAGAAUAAGCACCGGCUAACUUCGUGCCAGCAGCCGCGGUAAUACGAAGGGUGCUAGCGUUGUUCGGAAUUACUGGGCGUAAAGCGCGCGCAGGCGGUCUAUCAAGUCAGAGGUGAAAUGCCGAAGCUCAACUUCGGAACUGCCUUUGAAACUGUUAGACUAGAAUAUGGGAGGGGAUAGCGGAAUUCCUAAUGUAGAGGUGAAAUUCGUAGAUAUUAGGAGGAACACCGGUGGCGAAGGCGGCUAUCUGGCCCAUUAUUGACGCUGAGGCGCGAAAGCGUGGGGAUCAAACAGGAUUAGAUACCCUGGUAGUCCACGCUGUAAACGAUGAGUGCUAGCUGUUGGGACCUUAGGUCUCAGUGGCGCAGCUAACGCAUUAAGCACUCCGCCUGGGGAGUACGGUCGCAAGAUUAAAACUCAAAGGAAUUGACGGGGACCCGCACAAGCGGUGGAGCAUGUGGUUUAAUUCGAGGCAACGCGAAGAACCUUACCAGGACUUGACAUGUCCAGUUUGGAUUUCAGAAAUGAUUUCCUUCAGUUUGGCUGGCUGGAACACAGGUGCUGCAUGGCUGUCGUCAGCUCGUGUCGUGAGAUGUUGUGUUAAGUCCCGCAACGAGCGCAACCCUCAUCUUUAGUUGCUACCAUUUAGUUGAGCACUCUAAAGAAACUGCCGGUGAUAAGCCGGAGGAAGGUGGGGAUGACGUCAAGUCUUCAUGGCCCUUAUGUCCUGGGCUACACACGUGCUACAAUGGCAGUGACAAUGCGCCGCUACCUCGCGAGGGGAAGCUAAUCGCAAAAAGCUGUCUCAGUUCGGAUUGUACUCUGCAACUCGAGUACAUGAAGUUGGAAUCGCUAGUAAUCGCGCAUCAGCAUGGCGCGGUGAAUACGUUCCCGGGUCUUGUACACACCGCCCGUCACACCAUGGGAGUUGGUUCUACCUUAAGCUGCUGUGCUAACCGCAAGGAGGCAGGCAACCACGGUAGGGUCAGUGACUGGGGUGAAGUCGUAACAAGGUA